rnacentral:lncRNA from 1 species
UCCAUAUAAGUGAUAUCAUAUGGUAUUUGUCUUUCUUUUGCUAACGUACUUCAAUUAGUAUGAUAACCAUGUUGCUGCAAAUGACAUUAUUUCAUAUUUUUAAUGACUGAGCAAUAUUUGACUGUAUAUACAUACCAUAACCUCUCUAUCCAUUCAUCUGUCAAUGAACAUUUAGGCUGCUUCCAUGUCUUAGCUAUUGUAAAUAAUGCUGCAGUGAACAUUGGGAUACCUAUACCUUUUUGAAUUAUAGUUUUUUCCAGAUAUAUCCCAGGAGUGGAAUUGCUGGAUCAUAUGGGAACUCUAUUUUUCAUUUUUUGAGGAACCUCCAUGUUGUUUUCCACAGUGGCUGCACCAGUUAACAUUCCCAUAGACCUCUUGCAUCGUAUCUGUAACAUCCUCUUGACCAAAGAAGUGACAUGGCUAAAGCCAAAGUUAAGGGUUAGCAAAGUUCACCCAUCCACUGUACAGCCAAAGCAAGUCACAUGGCCAAGUCCAACAGCAGUGAAAUGGGCAAGUACAUUCAUCCAUGAAAGUAGGUAGGAGGGAGAUGGUGAAUAUCUGCUGAAGAGUAAUCUGCCACAUAUACCGUUCUAAUUUCUCCUCAAUUAUUCACCUGGAACUAGACUGCCUCACUGGUUUUUUCCCAGUUCUUUAAACAGGACAUGCUCUUCCCUGCCUCAAGACAUUUGCAAAUGCAAUUCCCUUAAGUUCUACAAGUCUUCACAUGGUCGUUUUUUUUCUAAUUUUAGCUUAAAUAUCAAUUCCUCAGAGAGGUCUUUUCUGGGAACAUUAAUAGUAGGCAAUUGUAUGUGAUUCUCAGUAUUCUCCUUUGAUAGGAUUUAUAUCAAUUUUUUAUCUUUGUUUUCUUUUUACCACCUUUGGGAUCUGUGUCCCCUACUAGACUUAUUUUUUUUCCUUCGAUUUUCCAUAUUGUCUGUUUUUUGUUGUUUUUUUUUUUUUUAACCAGUUUUGGCCUCUGUCUCUCCUACUAGACUGAUUUUUUCCCCUCCAUUUCCCACGUUGUCUGAUGUGUUAGCUUCCCUUUGUAAUUAAUAAUCAAGACGGGGGGUGGGGUGGGGAUGAGAAUUAGAAGCAGUCUAGGGAUUUAAAGGGUGCAGACACAGAUCAAAUUCUAUGCCCCCAAUUUGUAUUCUUCUUCUUAAGAGGACUCUUGGGUCCAGCAUGAGCUUCUCUUCCUGAGUUUGGUCCUUGCUUUCUCAGUUUACCAGUCUGAUAGGUUAAAACCCCCUUUCCUCUGCUUUGUCUUCUUAAAGUAUUUCCACUUAAAUUGUGAGCUACUCUAUGUCCUCUACUGGACAGCAGUUCCUGCUUCUACUCAUAAAAUUUCCCCCAAAUAAGCAUCGCUAACACCACUCUUCUAGCCAGAUCUCUUCAGCUAUCUAAGCAGCUCUCCAGCUACAUAUACACUGGAUCCUGGAAAAGCCAAGACUACAGCAAGGCCUCCUGUCUACCACUACAGAACUCUUUUCUUAUGAUGGAAAACAUUCCAGAAGCUAGACUAAGUAGUGUAAAGUCUAUACCAAAAGCUUUGCUCAGCUCUUAAUAAGUACUUAAGCAACAAGUCUUCCAGUUUUCCUCCCGGACCUUAUGUGAUGGUCAUAGAGAUCAAUCCAGCAGACAGUGACUCCUAUUUCUGGUUAAAAGAUAAUAUCCAACAGACUGGGGAGAGCUGACUCUGUCUAAUUGAAGAGAUUUUGCUUACAAUUGGCUGCAAAUUAAUACUGAAUUGUACACAAUUGCACUCACUGGAAUGGCCCAUUAACACUAAAUUGAACUACACCUUUCACAAAGGGAUCCAAGAUGAAAUUUUGGGACAGAAACAAUUGAUUUUUUUUUUUUUGAACAACAGAUGUAAAACUAGCUAUGGUAUGGUUUCUCUAUGCAUGCAAUUUUUUGCCAAAUAUUUCUUAUGAGAGGAUCUACUGAAAUAUGCAAGAGUCAUUAGAAUAAAGCCUAGACUUUUUAAAAAAGGAAGAAAUAUAACUUUGAUGACUUGCACAUUUUUAGAAAAGAUGGAAUUUAAGGGCAUAAUCAUGAAUAUUUACUUUUUCUCCCACUCUUAUUGCCUCAGUAUCCCUGUAUUUGUGGAUGUAUUUACCACAACAAUGCAUCUUAAUAUCACUAUCAUAUGCUUUUUGGAUUCUCACUUAAUUUUUAAUGCCCACCUCUUUUGCUUGCUUCUCUAUCCAAAUUCUAAAAGAAGUUGUAAAACUACUGUUACUAAAAAUGUUUCACUGUUUGUUCAUUUAAGGCCUUGUUCCUACCAGACACUCUUUCACAACUGAAGUUCCUCCUCUAAAUCACUAAAAUGAUUCGAGUGAUUUUCUCAAUUCUUCAGAGGAUGAUACAUAACCAGUAUCAUUCUAGUUGCAUUAGAAAGGAAUAAAUUUAUUACAAGCAAAGGUUGCCAGGGUAAUGGCCCCAACUCAAAGAUGUCUACUUCCUGAUCUCUGGGACCUAGUCAGUUACUCUAAUGGCAAAAGAAACUUUGCAGAGGUGAUUACAUUAAGGAUCUUGAGAUGGGAAGAUUAUCCAAGAUUGCCUGGGUGAGCCUAGUAUAAUCACAAGGGUCCUUAUAAGUCAAAGCAGUAGGGAGAAGGUCAGAGUCAGAAAUGGAUGGGAAGAUGUUAUCUUGCUGGCUUUGAACAUGAAAGAAGAGACCAUGAACCAGGAAAUGCAGGCAGCUUCUAGAUUUUGGAACAGACAAGGAGAUGGAUUCCCUCUAGAACAACCAGAAGGAACAUAGCUCUGCCAACGGACAGCUUGAUGUUAGUUCAGUGAGUUCUAUAACAGACUUCUGACUUCCAGAACUGAAAUAUAUUAUUUAUGUUGUUUAAAGUUACUGAUUUCAUGAUUUUUGGUUACAGCAACAGCAGGAAACUAAUAUAGAUGCUUUAAGGCAUUAGGGCUUAUUAAUUCCAUCUAAAACCCCAGCUGAGAAAGGUUGCCACUGGGGUCAGCAAAGGUGUCUAAUGAAAAUGAGGACCUUUUCUGGUUGCCAUCGCUGUUCACUAGACCACUGAAUGUACGUCUAGGAAGAAACUCUUCAAUGGCAGGUCUGUGUUUUCAUUUUGUUUGGCUGUCUGAAUAUAGCAGAUAGAGAAGACUACAUUUAUGAAUGGAUUAUUUUUUUCUUUUAUGGCCACACUGGAAGCAUAUGGAAAUUCCCAGGCUAGGCGUCCAGUUGGAGCUGCAGCUGCCAGCUUAUACUACACCUGCAGCAACACAGGAUCCGAGCUGCAUCUGUGGCCUACACUACAACUCAUGGCAAUGUCAGAUCCUUGAUCCGCUGAGCGAGGCCAAGGAUUGAACCCACAUUCUCAUGGAUAGUGGUUGGGUUGCCACCACGGGAACUCCAUAUGAGUUGAUUCUAAUAAAGAAAUCUUUUACUGGCCUCCUCUGCAAGUGCCUUUAUCAGUCCCUAAGAAUCAUCAGCAGCAGAAAUAUCUCCCACAAGGGAAUGGGAAAACAUAAAAAGGCUGGGGAGAAUUCUGAUAUUCCAUAAGCAUUUAUAUUUGAUCUAGUACUAUAUUACUCUAAUGUUAUCAUAGUCUUAACCUUUAGGCAUAUGCCUUGGUGGUCAGAAACUAAGUUGAAAUUUUCUGCAUUAUCUACAGUGUUUUCUUGAGCUCAGAUAUUCAGACUCACAAGAUUAGGGUCUGAAUAUGAUUCAACAUCAUAUUCACUGAGAAGGAUAGGACGGGAAGCCUAGCAUGCCAGCAGGGAUAGCCCUAGACAUUUAUCUUUGCGAGAGUCUUCACAGAAUUCUGUGCAGUGCAGACCAGCUGAAAGGAGACAAGGUCUAUGCUGGGCAGAUACUUCAAAGCCUUAUGCCCCAAGAGCAAUAAUAACAGCAAUACGGAAAUAAUUUCCAGGGUGUCUACAACGGACAUGUCAGUGACAAAUUCAGCCCAUGCAGGGAAGCCCCAUGUAUGGCCUCCUAUCAGUUUAUGUGUCUACCUUGCAAUCCAGAUGUCAUUUAUUAACCAUGGGUCACACUUUACCAUAAACAACAUUGGUUAGCAACAUAACCAAUGUAUUAUACUUAACAAAAGCUUGAAAGUUUGUAGGUCAAGUUCUCAUGCAGAAUGGAAAAGGUUUUUGUAAUUCUUUACCCAUAAAUAUGUUGGAAAUUGUUCAUUUUCUGUGUAUAACACUAUGUUAGGAUCAUCAUUAUUGUUGUUAUCCUUAGCUGCUAUUUUUUUGGCCACGCCCACUUUGUGAGGAAUUCCCAGGGCAGGGGACAAACCCAAGCCACAGCAUGUCAACAUCGAUUCCUUAACCACUAGGCGACCAGGGAACUCCUUAGCUGCUAUUUUUGAGGAUGAAUGUUUAUUUAAAGCUUUGUGCUUUAUAUGCAUUGUCUUAAGUCACUGUGUGAGCAUUAUGAAGAAGGUAUGAUGAAAGCUAUCUUUUCAUUAGAACACCAAGAUUCAAAGAGGUUGAGCAAAUUUCUUGAAGUUUAUGUAGCAAGUAAGUGGCAAGAUGGGUGUUCGGCUCCAUCUCUCUCUACUUAGUUCGUUUGCGCUACUUGCAACCUCCUUGUUGCCAAAUUCACUGUCGCUGGCCACUGUCACAGACACCUGUGUCUGCAUCCAGGCGGACCUGUGCACCUUUCUUGGUCUUUCAGGGACCCACAUGGAAGUUUCAUCAGCUAAGGAGAACAUCCACUCUGUAACAAAAGUGCCCCUAAAACAAAGAAUGAAUUUGUUCAUGCUUAGUUUCUCAAAGAAAUGGAGUCUCUUUAAUG